rnacentral:snoRNA from 1 species
CUUUCAUCCUGUUCCAUAUCCCACCAUUCCUCAGUGUUGAUGGUUUGAAUACUGAUUCCUGUCCUAGGGUCUGGGUGCUGUGCAGCCUCCAGAGACCCUGCAGUCUCUCAGUGUCCUACUGGGGGCUGCUGUGGUGUGUGGCUGGCUGCCUGCAAGAGGGAAGCAGAGCUGGCAGGGUUGGAUCCCCUCUUUGGGGGGCUCGAACCUCACUGGGAUGAGGGAUGAUGUCUGAUCAC